UACGUAGGGGGCAAGCGUUGUCCGGAAUCAUUGGGCGUAAAGCGCGUGUAGGCGGCCCGAUAAGUCCGCUGUGAAAGUCCAGGGCUCAACCCUGGGAUGCCGGUGGAUACUGUCGGGCUCGAGUCCGGAAGAGGAGUGUGGAAUUCCGUGGUGUAGCGGUGAAAUGCGCAGAUAUCAGGAGGAACACCAAUGGCGAAGGCGGCAUCCUGGACCAACACUGACGCUGAGUGAGCGAAAGCCAGGGGAGCAAACGGG
rnacentral:rRNA from 1 species